UUCCCCAAAAUCCCCCAAAAACCUUCCUCGAAAUCCCCCAGAAAACUCCCAAAAUCCUCCAAAAUCCUUCCCCAAAAUCCCCCAAAUCCUUCCUCAAAAUACCCAAAAAAAACCUCCAAAAUCCUUCCCUAAAAUCCCCCCCAAAAAACCCCAAAUCCUUCCUCAAAAUCCUUCCCCAAAAUCCCCCAAAUCCUUUCCCCAAAAACCCCAAAAUCCUUCCCAAAAAACCCCAAAAUCCUUCCCAAAAAUCCCCCCAAAAACCUUCCCUAAAACUCCCCAAAAUCCCCCCAGAAAACUCAAAAUCCCUUCCUCAAAAUCCCCCCAAAAAUCCCAAAAUGCUUCCACAAAAUCCUCCAAAAUCCUUCCACCAAAAACUCCAAAAUCUCUCCCCAAAAUCCAACCCCAAACCCCCCCAAAACCCCAAAAUCCUUUCCCAAAAUCCCUCUCCCCAAAAAAACUGGCCGGGAAUGUUGGGGGAGGGGUCCUGGGGGGAUUUGGGGGCUCCUGGAGGAAUCUGGGAAGGUUCUGGAAGGUUCUGGAAAGUUCCAGUGGGAUCUGGGAUGGUUCUGGAAGGAUCUGUGGGGAUCUGGGAAAGGU
rnacentral:lncRNA from 1 species